UUUUCUGAUGUUUGUGGACUGGUUAUACUGGGACAGAGAGGCUGAGAGGACUGUUUUUUUUAGUUUUUUUUAAUAAAAGCUCGGAGAAUGAACGUGCAGAGGAGUUCAACCUGGGUCAGACUUGGGAGACACAGUGCAUCGGCUCUCCCGUGUUGAAGAAUGCUCUCAGAAUGUGCAUCAUAUCCUCUCCUCAGCCCCGUGUGUUUUCCUCUCGGUCUGGCUCUGUCUGGGCUGCAGCUCAGCGUGCGUAUGGGACUUGAGAUGACAUCACAGCUGCUCACUUGAGAGUUGCCCCCCUUUUUCCCAAAGCAAAACAGGAAAUGAAGUUAUCUCAUACUUCCUGCAGUGCCAUGGUGACAAAUGACUGACAGCAGAUCGUACGUGGUGACUUGGGAUGGACUCUCUUUGGCCAGGAAAGGCCGCAUGUCAAGGCCCUCCAACGGGAAGGAUACGUGGCUGCUAAUCUUGAACGAAUACAUGACCUCGUGCCGGAAGCGUUUCAGGUGAAUGCACAGAAUCUACACCAACAAAAAUAAAUCAAUAAAACCCACAAAUUUACAAAGCCGGCCACAUGUGAAACUCAACUUUGUUAUCUGUAGCAAGAAGUAGAUCAGAUAAUAAAAAAUGUACCUCUGGAAGUCUAAGUACUUUGCAAUAUUUGACACCAUUUCUCAACCUGUAGAAAAGGGAAUAUUGUAUAAAAAAUAUCUAAAUGAAAAAUGCCCUUUUUAAUGUUUUUAAGCAUUAAAAGAGAAGAGAUCCUCCAUAUAACGUCUCCAUUACUCACUUUUUACAUCUCUCACAGCUGUACAUGUUGUCCCCUGUGAAGAGAGUAAAUGUAAAUGUUAAUUCUGACAUUUGUAUCUAAUCUUGACCACUUGAAUAAUAAUAAUUAUAGUAGAAUAGCACAGU